rnacentral:rRNA from 1 species
CUCCUUACGGGGGAGACAGUCAUGAGACGUGAGUAUAAGACCUGAGUGUAAAGACCUUAGGGUGAAGCAAUUGGAGGGCAAGCUUUGGUGCCAGCAGCCGCGGUAACUCCAACUCCAAGAGUGUCUAUGGUGGAUGCUGCAGUUAAAGGGUCCGUAGUCGUGAAUGCAAUUAAAUGUCGUUGUUCAAUAGCGAUGAGUUUGCUAAUGUUUGCGGAACGGAUAGGGAGUGUAGUAUAGACUGGCGAAGAAUGAAAUCUCAAGACCCAGUUUGGACUAACGGAGGCGAAGGCGACACUCUUAGACGUAUCUUAGGAUCAAGGACGAAGGCAGGAGUAUCGAAAGUGAUUAGACACCGCUGUAGUUCCUGCAGUAAACUAUGCCGACAGCCUGUGUGUGAGAAUACGUGGGCGGGAGAAAUCUUAGUGUUCGGGCUCUGGGGAUAGUACGCUCGCAAGGGUGAAACUUAAAGCGAAAUUGACGGAAGGACACUACCAGGAGUGGAUUGUGCUGCUUAAUUUAACUCAACGCGGGAAAACUUACCAGGGUCAAGUCAUUCGUUGAUCGAAUACGUGAGAAUGGCA